UGUACAAAGAUUUACAACAUACAACAUAUCUAUAUACUGCAAUGAUUUCUUCAUUCUUCCUUUUAUAUACACAUGUAUAACAAAUCAUACUUUUAGAUAUUGCUUUUUUCCUGAAAUCCUAAAGUUUAAUGACAAAUGAUAUCAAAACUACAAUUGAUGUGUUGAGACGACAUAAAUGCCCAAAAACUGCUGCCAAAUUGUUACUAUACAAAAUAGAGAAAUGUUAUUUUUGAAAAAUUGAAUUUAAAUGAUCAUAC
rnacentral:lncRNA from 1 species